CUCUCUCUUCCUCCCUUCUCCACUCUCCCCCUCCCCUCCUCUUCCCUUUCCUUACCAGGACAUAAGAAACAUGUUGGUGAUUAUUUUUUAAAGCCAAAUGCUUUCUUUCCACUGAAACCUAUGCAGAAACCCUGUGAUGACGAGGGAACUGAUGAGGCUGUAGACUAAGUUGGACUGUUAUGCUUGAUGGUGGCUGUGGGCCAAGCUCUCUGAGAUACACGUUAGAUGAUGGCCUCUCCUAACGUUUCUGAAGUAAUUGACCCAAGGAUGUAAGAAGUGAGGGUUGGUGAAAUCAAAGCCAGACAUAUGACUGUGGAAAGAGGAAGGAUGUCAAUCUGCUAAUCACUGAGAGACUGGAGUCGUGUGGACACCAUGGGAUGACAGCUGGAGUGACUCCAGAUCCACCUGACCCAGGAAGUGAUGCCACAUCCUGGGGCUUUGGGACACCAUCACACUGUACACAAUGGUAGGAACCAGAAUUCGGAUGCAAUGGAAGGGUGGGUUUCCCCCACAACCACAAGUCUCGGAGAACUUCAUUUCCCAGCUUGAUGGGUUCCUGUUCACUUCCAUCACUGAGUCAGAGGCUCCGGAUGAACACCUCUGCUGUACACGAGUCUUCUACCUACAAUGCCACCUGUGUUGGGAACAGUAGUCACCAAGCUACAUGGACAUACAGCUUGCAACUUCCUAUGGAAAAUAGUGUGAAUGGUCUCCUUUUAUAAAUUAUGUGUUGAAAUAGCAUUCUGGGACAUACUUAUUUGAAUAAGUACAGUAUCAUUUUGCAUUUACACAAUUAAAUGUGUGCCAUCUUACACUAUAUGCCAAUAAAAACAGCUUGUGCUA